rnacentral:lncRNA from 1 species
AACCAACACUUAUAAAAUAUCAACAGAGCAGACCUGUACUACAUGAAAUUGUAAUGGAAGUUCUCCAAAGGGAAAAAGAAUAUUAACAGAAAAAUUGGAUCUUCAGGAGCAAAUGAAGAACAUCAGAAAUGCAAAAUUAUAACAUCAGUCUUUGGGGUUUGUAAUGUAUGAAGAUGUAAUAUGUAAAUGUAUAAUGAAAUAAAUAUAUAAAACUACUAAAUGUAUGAUACUAUAAGAGAGUAUGGUUGUUCAGAGGUGGCAAAAUGGACCUAUAUGCUUACGAGGUGUCUAUAUUUUAUGUAAAAAGGUACAGUAUUCUGCUUAAAUUCUGAAAGGUUAGAGAUGUAUAUUGUGUUUCUUAAAUAAAACACUAAAAAAGUAGAGAUAUCUUUUAAGCUGAUAGAAACAUUAAGAUAUAAUAUUGAAAAUUAUUUGUUAUAUUUUUAAAAGAUAAGAAAGAAGAAAUAACAGGCAGCAGAGAGGACAAAAGAAAAAUAAUAGGAGUUCCCUGGUGGCUGAAUGGCUUAAGGAUCCAGCAUCACUGCUGUGGCAUGGGUUUGAUCCUUGGCCCAGGAAUUUCUGCAUUCCAUGGACACAGCCAAAAUAAUAAUAAAACGUUAAGUGAAAUCUGAUGAUGAUAACAGUUGCAUUAAAUAUUAAAGGUCUAAACACUGCAAUUAAUAAUUAGAGACUGUCAGAGUGGAUUAUAAAAAAGGAAGAUAUACAGCUUACAAGAAUUACCCUUUAGAUAUAAAGACACAUAGGUAUGUUAAAAGUAAAUGAAUGUACAAAACUAUACCAGUCAGGAGUUCCUGUCGUGGCUCAGUGGCAAUGAACCUGACUAGUGUGAAUGAAGAUGCAGUUUCACUCCCUGGCCUCACUCAGUGAGCAGUGGUGUAGGUCACAGAAGCAGCUUGGAUCUGACAUUGCUGUGGCUGUGGUGUCGGAAGGCACUUACACCUCUCUUUCAUCCCCUAAUCUGGAAACUGCCAUAUGCUGUGGGUGUGGCCCUAAAACAGACCAAAAAAAAAAAAAAGUGUGAAACCUAGGUCUGUUGUUUCCAAAGCCUGAACUCUUUUCCUUACUCAGUUUUAUAACUAUAUAAAAUCCUAUGUGGAUUUGCCCUUGACUCUUGGUAUUCUUUUUUUUUUUUUUCUAUUAAUGUAGCAAGGAAGAGCUAUGUUAAUAUCAGAUAAAGGCAUUCCCACUGUGGUACAAUGGAUUAAGAAAUCUGACUACAGUGGCUCAGGUUGCUGUGGAGGCACAGGUUUCAUCCCUGGCCCAGCACAGUGGGCUUAAUCCAGCAUUUCUGCGUGUGUGACUUAGGUCACAGCUGUGGCUCAGAUUCAGUCCCUGGCCCAGGAACUUCCAUAUACUGCAAGUGUAGCCAUGAAAAUUUCAAGAUAAUAAUACCAGAUAAAAUAACUUUCAAGAUAGAGAGUAUUAUGGGAAAUAAAAAUGAAUAUUUCAGGAGUUAUUAUUGUGGCUCAGCAGGUUAAGAUCCCAAUAUAGUGUCUGUGAGAUUUGGGUUUGAUCCCUGGCCUUGCUUAGUGGGUGAAGGAUCUAGUGUUCCCGCAAGUUGCCGUGUGGGUUGCAGAUGCAGCUCAGAUCUGGUGUUGCUAUAACUGUGGUGUAGGCCAGCAGCCGCAGCUCUGAUUCAACCCCUAGCCUGGGAACUUCCAUAUGCCACAAGUGCAGCUAUAAAAAGGAAAAAAAGGGGAUAGUUCAUAAUAUUAAAAGGACAUUUCAGGAAGAUAUAAUUAUAAAUAAAUGUCUGUGUAUUUAGCAGCAACCUAAAAAUACAUGAAGCAAAAAUUGAGAGAAUUCAAAAGAGAAAUAGUUAUUUAUACAAUGAUAGAAGAUUUUAACACCUGUGAUAGAAGAUUAUAUACACAUUUUAAAAUGUUAAUUUACUAUAUUAACAAAAUAGAGUAUUAAAAAAUACCUGAUUGUUUCCAAAUGUGAAGAAAAAGCAUUUGCAAAAUUUAACACACAUUCAUGAUAAAAACUCAGCAAACUAGGAAUAAUAGGGAACAUCUUAAUCUGGUAAGGAGUUUCUACAGAAUACUCAAUUUACCUUCAUGUUCCAGGUGGCUCAGCAGUAACAAACCUGGCUAGUAUCCAUGAGGGUACAGGUUCAGUCUCUGACCUUGCUCAAUGGGUUAAGGAUCUGGCGUUACCAUGAGCCAUGGUGUAGGUCACAGACACAGCUCAGAUCCUGCAUUGCUGUGGAUGUGGUGUAGGAUGGCAGCUGUAGCUCUGAUUUGAUCCCCAGCCUGGGAACUUCCAUAUGCUGUAGGUAUGGCCCUAAAAG